rnacentral:rRNA from 1 species
AACGAACGCUGGCGGCAGGCCUAACACAUGCAAGUCGAACGCCGUAGCAAUACGGAGUGGCAGACGGGUGAGUAACGCGUGGGAACAUGCCCUUUGGUUCGGAAUAACUCAGGGAAACUUGAGCUAAUACCGGAUAAGCCCGUGAGGGGAAAGAUUUAUCGCCGAAGGAUUGGCCCGCGUCCGAUUAGCUAGUUGGUGAGGUGAUGGCUCACCAAGGCGACGAUCGGUAGCUGGUCUGAGAGGAUGAUCAGCCACACUGGGACUGAGACACGGCCCAGACUCCUACGGGAGGCAGCAGUGGGGAAUAUUGGACAAUGGGCGCAAGCCUGAUCCAGCCAUGCCGCGUGAGUGAUGAAGGCCCUAGGGUUGUAAAGCUCUUUCGCCAGGGACGAUAAUGACGGUACCUGGAUAAGAAGCCCCGGCUAACUUCGUGCCAGCAGCCGCCGUAA